AGAGGGUGACCCCCCACACUGGUACUGAGACACGGACCAGACUCCUACGGGAGGCAGCAGUGAGGAAUAUUGGGCAAUGGAGGCAACUCUGACCCAGCCAUGCCGCGUGCAGGAAGAAUGCCCUAUGGGUUGUAAACUGCUUUUAUUUAGGAAUAAACCCUUCUACGUGUAGAAGGCUGAAUGUACUAAACGAAUAAGCACCGGCUAACUCCGUGCCAGCAGCCGCGGUAAUACGGAGGGUGCAAGCGUUAUCCGGAAUCAUUGGGUUUAAAGGGUCCGCAGGCGGACGUAUAAGUCAGUGGUGAAAUCCUGCAGCUUAACUGCAGAACUGCCAUUGAUACUGUACGUCUUGAAUUCGGUCGAAGUGGGCGGAAUGUGUAGUGUAGCGGUGAAAUGCAUAGAUAUUACACAGAACACCGAUAGCGAAGGCAGCUCACUAGGCCUGGAUUGACGCUCAGGGACGAAAGCGUGGGGAUCAA
rnacentral:rRNA from 1 species